AGAGUUUGAUCCUGGCUCAGAACGAACGUUAGCGGCGCGCUUAACACAUGCAAGUCGCACGAGAAAGGGCUUCGGCCCCGGUAAAGUGGCGCACGGGUGAGUAACACGUGGGUAAUCUUCCCUCGAGCGGGGGAUAACAUUCCGAAAGGAGUGCUAAUACCGCAUAAGACCCCGUCCUCGAAAGAGGAUGAGGUAAAAGCUGGCCUCUAUACAUAAGCUAGCACUUGAGGAUGAGCCCGCGGCCCAUCAGGCAGUUGGCAGGGUAACGGCCUACCAAACCUAAGACGGGUAGCUGGUCUGAGAGGAUGAUCAGCCACACUGGAGCUGACACACGGUCCAGACUCCUACGGGAGGCAGCAGUGGGGAAUCUUGCGCAAUGGACGAAAGUCUGACGCAGCGACGCCGCGUGGGUGAUGAAGGCCUUCGGGUUGUAAAGCCCUGUGGGGCGGGACGAAUAAGUGCAGCCUAAUACGUUGCAUGAUGACGGUACCGCCUUAGCAAGCACCGGCUAACUCUGUGCCAGCAGCCGCGGUAAGACAGAGGGUGCAAACGUUGUUCGGAAUUACUGGGCGUAAAGCGUGUGUAGGCGGCCAUGCAAGUCGGAUGUGAAAGCCCCAGGCUUAACCUGGGAAGUGCACCCGAAACUGCAUGGCUCGAGUAUCGGAGAGGUUGGUGGAAUUCUCGGUGUAGAGGUGAAAUUCGUAGAUAUCGAGAGGAACACCGGUGGCGAAGGCGGCCAACUGGACGAAUACUGACGCUGAGACACGAAAGCGUGGGGAGCAAACAGGAUUAGAUACCCUGGUAGUCCACGCCGUAAACGAUGCAUAUUUGGUGUAGGUCAUUCAGUUGAUCUGUGCCGGAGCUAACGCGUUAAAUAUGCCGCUUGGGGAGUACAGUCGCAAGGCUGAAACUCAAAGGAAUUGACGGGGGCCCGCACAAGCGGUGGAGCAUGUGCAUUAAUUCGUCACUAACCGAAGAACCUUACCAGGGUUUGACAUCCGC
rnacentral:rRNA from 1 species